UCAAGGCCACUUCCCAGACCUACCCUUCCCAAAGUUCGUGUUCAUUUUAGAUUUAUAAUUGUGUGCUCUUUUACUUUACCAGGAGGGUCCCCAAAGUGCCUAAUAUCUGAGCUCCAGAAAACAGGAUCGGCCCCAGGAUUUGGGGGUGUGCAUCUGUGGUGGCCACUGGCAAGGGAGUCUCAUUCAAUUCCCAUCCCUCUUCCUUAGGAGACUUAGCUCUUAGGAUCCCAGGUAUCCAGGAAACCGACAGAGCCACUGGACCUGACCAUCUCUUAUUCAAUGUGUGCUGCUCAUGCACUGACUUAAUUUUGAAAUAGCCACUUCCUUGUUCUGCUGUAAUGUCUCCUUAUAAUGAGGCUCAAAUUAGACAACUUACAUUAUGUUGAGCAUUGAUGUGUGGUGGAUGUACAAUAAAGGUUCCCUUAAGUAGGUUCUUCGUGGCCCCUCACCCUCACCCCAAACUGCCAUGGAGGACCGACAAAGUCUAUCUCAUAUUUUGGAAACACAUUUAAUCUCUUCAUUUAUCCA